rnacentral:tRNA from 1 species
GCCGAAGUGGUGGAAUGGCAGACGCGCUGGAUUCAAAAUCCAGUGUAGGCAACUACGUGUGGGUUCAAGUCCCACCUUCGGCACCA